AGGGGUGUAGCUCAGUUGGUAGAGCAGUCGAUUCCAAAUCGACAGGUCCUGGGUUCGAGUCCCUGCGCCCCUG
rnacentral:tRNA from 1 species